rnacentral:rRNA from 1 species
GUGGGGAAUAUUGGGCAAUGGGCGAAAGCCUGACCCAGCAACGCCGCGUGAAGGAAGAAGGUCUUCGGAUCGUAAACUUCUAUCCUUGGUGAAGAUAAUGACGGUAGCCGAGAAGGAAGCCCCGGCUAACUACGUGCCAGCAGCCGCGGUAAUACGUAGGGGGCAAGCGUUGUCCGGAAUGAUUGGGCGUAAAGGGCGCGUAGGCGGCCUGGUAAGUCUGGAGUGAAAGUCCUGCUUUUAAGGUGGGAAUUGCUUUGGAUACUGUCGGGCUUGAGUGCAGGAGAGGUAAGUGGAAUUCCCGGUGUAGCGGUGAAAUGCGUAGAGAUCGGGAGGAACACCAGUGGCGAAGGCGACUUACUGGACUGUAACUGACGCUGAGGCGCGAAAGUGUGGGGAGCAAACAGGAUUAGAAACCCCUGUAGUCC